rnacentral:rRNA from 1 species
UGCAGUCGAACGAGGUCUCGUCUGAUGAUCGGUGCUUGCACCGAGAUUCAACAUGGAACGAGUGGCGGACGGGUGAGUAACACGUGGGUAACCUGCCCUUAAGUGGGGGAUAACAUUUGGAAACAGAUGCUAAUACCGCAUAGAUCCAAGAACCGCAUGGUUCUUGGCUGAAAGAUGGCGUAAGCUAUCGCUUUUGGAUGGACCCGCGGCGUAUUAGCUAGUUGGUGAGGUAAUGGCUCACCAAGGCGAUGAUACGUAGCCGAACUGAGAGGUUGAUCGGCCACAUUGGGACUGAGACACGGCCCAAACUCCUACGGGAGGCAGCAGUAGGGAAUCUUCCACAAUGGACGCAAGUCUGAUGGAGCAACGCCGCGUGAGUGAAGAAGGCUUUCGGGUCGUAAAACUCUGUUGUUGGAGAAGAAUGGUCGGCAGAGUAACUGUUGUCGGCGUGACGGUAUCCAACCAGAAAGCCACGGCUAACUACGGGCCAGCAGCCGCGGUAAUACGUAGGUGGCAAGCGUUAUCCGGAUUUAUUGGGCGUAAAGCGAGCGCAGGCGGUUUUUUAAGUCUGAUGUGAAAGCCCUCGGCUUAACCGAGGAAGCGCAUCGGAAACUGGGAAACUUGAGUGCAGAAGAGGACAGUGGAACUCCAUGUGUAGCGGUGAAAUGCGUAGAUAUAUGGAAGAACACCAGUGGCGAAGGCGGCUGUCUGGUCUGUAACUGACGCUGAGGCUCGAAAGCAUGGGUAGCGAACAGGAUUAGAUACCCUGGUAGUCCAUGCCGUAAACGAUGAAUGCUAGGUGUUGGAGGGUUUCCGCCCUUCAGUGCCGCAGCUAACGCAUUAAGCAUUCCGCCUGGGGAGUACGACCGCAAGGUUGAAACUCAAAGGAAUUGACGGGGGCCCGCACAAGCGGUGGAGCAUGUGGUUUAAUUCGAAGCAACGCGAAGAACCUUACCAGGUCUUGACAUCUUUUGAUCACCUGAGAGAUCAGGUUUCCCCUUCGGGGGCAAAAUGACAGGUGGUGCAUGGUUGUCGUCAGCUCGUGUCGUGAGAUGUUGGGUUAAGUCCCGCAACGAGCGCAACCCUUAUGACUAGUUGCCAGCAUUUAGUUGGGCACUCUAGUAAGACUGCCGGUGACAAACCGGAGGAAGGUGGGGAUGACGUCAAAUCAUCAUGCCCCUUAUGACCUGGGCUACACACGUGCUACAAUGGAUGGUACAACGAGUUGCGAGACCGCGAGGUCAAGCUAAUCUCUUAAAGCCAUUCUCAGUUCGGACUGUAGGCUGCAACUCGCCUACACGAAGUCGGAAUCGCUAGUAAUCGCGGAUCAGCACGCCGCGGUGAAUACGUUCCCGGGCCUUGUACACACCGCCCGUCACACCAUGAGAGUUUGUAACACCCGAAGCCGGUGGCGUAACCCUUUUAGGGAGCGAGCCGUCU